rnacentral:rRNA from 1 species
UGCGUAACGCGUGGGAAUCUGCCCUUGGGUUCGGAAUAACAGUUAGAAAUGGCUGCUAAUACCGGAUGAUGUCGUCGGACCAAAGAUUUAUCGCCCAGGGAUGAGCCCGCGUAGGAUUAGGUAGUUGGUGGGGUAAAGGCCCACCAAGGCGACGAUCCUUAGCUGGUCUGAGAGGAUGAUCAGCCACACUGGGACUGAGACACGGCCCAGACUCCUACGGGAGGCAGCAGUGGGGAAUAUGGACAAUGGGCGCAAGCCUGAUCCAGCA